GAAUACCUUAUAUCCUCAUUGGGGGUUAGUUCACAUCUCUCUCUUCCCUUGUUUACUUGAUGUGGUCCUUUUUGUAUUUUAUAUACAUUUAGGUUACUUUUGGUUGAGCUUAAUGUGAUAAUUCCCACAUAUCGGCCGGCGGCUGUGGAGUGUGCCAUUCCUGUUUCUGUCUCUGACCCAGGUGUGCCUGUGUUUUGCCUCAACGGAGAAAAAAUUUGUAAUGUAAUUCCUAUAUUUGUAUUGGUAGUGGAAUGGUAAUGGUGGCGGCUGAGGUAAUAGUAGUGGUAGUGGCCUGGUGGUGAUGGAGUGGGCAGAGGAUAAGCGGUGAUAGCGGUGAUUAGGUCAAGUGGUGGUGGUGAUAGGAUUGAGAUAUUAGCUGGGUAAUGGUGGUG
rnacentral:misc_RNA from 1 species